rnacentral:rRNA from 1 species
AAGUUUGAUCUGGUCAGAUUGAACGCUGGCAGUAUGCUUUACACAUGCAAGUCGAACGGAUUAAGAAGCUUGCUUCUUAGUUAGUGGGAACGGGUGAGUAAUAUAUCGGAACAUAUCCGGAAGUGGGGGAUAACGUAGCGAAAGUUACGCUAAUACCGCAUAUGCCCUGAGGGGGAAAGGAGGGGAUCGCAAGACCUUUCGCUUUCGGAGUGGCCGAUACCGGAUUAGCUAGUAGGUGAGGUAAAGGCUCACCUAGGCGACGAUCCGUAGCUGGUCUGAGAGGACGACCAGCCACACUGGAACUGAGACACGGUCCAGACUCCUACGGGAGGCAGCAGUGGGGAAUUUUGGACAAUGGGCGCAAGCCUGAUCCAGCCAUACCGCGUGAGUGAAGAAGGCCUUCGGGUUGUAAAGCUCUUUCACCGGAAAGAAAUCGCCUUUUUAAUACAAAGUGUGGAUGACGGUACCGGAAGAAGAAGCACCGGCUAACUACGUGCCAGCAGCCGCGGUAAA